CAGAGCAUUCGCAAUUUUGAGGAGUCGCCAUGGAUAGGAUGUGGCAGAGGCUCUAUAAAACUGCACCCUAUUCGCCUGCAAAAGCUCUAUAAAUUUGAUACUCCAAGCCUGUACAGAUUACACUAUUAUUUCAGUGGAUGGCUAGAUUGCAUGUUGAAGCACAGGCUCAACUUGAUUCAUCAGAGUUUUGUAUUCAAUGGAAAAGGAAUCGAGCUUGCCAGAUCUUGGGGCAAAUUUCAAGUUGCUAUAUAACAAGAGGCUAGAAAAGUACUUGGUUUGGGCAUAUAUGCAACAGUCCAAUUGUAUCCCGAGAUUUCGCAAUUCUGAGGAGUUGUCAUGGACAGGAUGUGGCAAAGGCUCUGUAACGUUUAACAAGAUCUAUUCUGUUAGGAUUUGUCCAUUUCAACAACUUCCUUUGGUUUGUCUUUAUUGAUAAGAAUUCAGUUGGUGAACAAAAAGAGUGACAGAGCAGUUUGUUCUGUAUAUUGGUGUUUGUUCUAAACAGACAAAAAUGCAGAAUACAGGCAGUUGGAGAUUACUAUGAAUGGCUACUUUCAUUUAGGAUCCAAAUGGAGAGAAGUGUGUUUACAGUUGGAUUUUAUGACUGUGAGGAUAGCUGAAUUUGUAAUUUCCAUAAAGAAUUCUGAAUGGACAGAAUUUACAGCUAGGACAAUGGACGGUGCAGGUUUCUUUGUGUAUCGAUCAAGUAGGAGGAGGAAAUGAUUUUGAGAAGGUUUCAGAUCUGUUAUUAGCAGUCUACAUAAACAUGUCAUGGAAAACCUACAAGGAAUAGAAAUAAUUGAUGUUCCAGAUUCUGAGUCAGAGGUCUCUGUUGCAAGUCCCACUUUAUCAAGUGUUAAUUCCAAUGACGUCAAUGAAACAAAACUCCAAAAACUAGCAAGAGAUGUAAGGAACCAGUGUAAUGAAUUUAUCGAGAGGCUCAUACUCAGAAGCUCUCGUAUACAUGCUGUUGAAGGCAAAGAUGUUACCGAAAUUCUAGAAACUGUUGAUAUCUUUCGCACCACAUCUGUCAAAUAUGCCAAUUUUGGGGACUUUGUUAAAGAAUUUUUUUAUGGUGAACAAUAUGAUAUGUGUUGCUCUACUCAACAAGUUGAAAGCAUUCAACAAUUUCUCAAGAAAAUGUAAUGCAAAAAUGUUUGCAGUAGCUUGAAAGUAACAAUUUUAUAUUGGAAAUACAGAUAAUAUGUGUUGCUCUACUCAACAAGUCAAACGCAUUCAACAAUUUCUCAAGGAAAUGUAAUACGAAAAUUUUUGUAGUAGCUUGAAAGUAAAAAUUUUAUAUUGGAAAUACAG